ensembl:lncRNA
GUAUGUGGGUUGAGAAGAGAGUGCCCGCAUGCCCACGCAUGUGAAGUAACUUCAGAAGACUUACAGAGGGGAGGCUGCAGAAUAAUAUUGUCUGAUGCUGAAGGCCACAUGGAGCUGGGAUCGAAAAAAUGUUCUCCGCAAUCUAAACAAAGUUAGAUUGGGAAAUGCAGCAUGGUACCAUGGGGGCCUGGUUCGGCCAUGACCCGCCUGCCCGCAGGCGCCGGCCUCAGAUGCUCAGAGCGGCCUGGGGAGAGAGGGGAUGCUUUGACUUUUCAAGAUCUAAGAGUUAUGGUUCCCUUUUGGCGAAAUGCUUUUUGUCCUGUCAUAACUUGAGUCCUUUGUGGUAGCACCGAUUGUGGCCUCGGAAGCCCAGGUAGGAGUCAUUCAACCUUUUUCAGCAGAUUGAAGUGAUUUUUAAGUGAAUACAGAAAGCAGCCCUACCCACACCAUCCUCUGUCAGGAAUGAAGCAUCUGUGAUGGAAAAUACCUGCAGCCUGGGGAAAAAAUUUACUGCAACAGCUCCAUUUCAUGUUGUGGGGUCAUAUUUUUAUUGAUGUGAAAUUCUUGCUCUCUACUGUCCGAUUUUUGUUAACUACUGAAUCUAAAUCUUGUUGGGUCUUGUGCUUGCAAACCCCUGUAAUUAGCAUGAUAUCCUAGAUUGUUUUUAAAUUGAAGUGGCCUGGUUUCUGUGUCUAACCUGUGCAGUUAGAGGCCCCGGGGCUGAGAUUGUAUCUGGGGCUCUCCCUGGACCCCUCUCUUCCACGCCCUGGCUGGAGACUGAGCAUCAAAAUCUCCCAUGGAAACCUGGAUCCAGAGUUCAGGAACCGGGAGGCUGGCACAGGCGAGGGGGUGCGGGUGAUGUCAAGCACCCUUCUCUGGGACUUGCAAGUUGCCACAGAGGAGAGCGUGGCAACCCACUCCAAUAUUCUUGCCUGGAGAAUCCUAUAGACAGAGGAGCCCUACAGUUCACGGGGUCAAAGAGUCAGAGGUGACUAAAGUGUGACCAUCUCACCAGAGGAUCCCUCCCACCUACCCUACACCACGAAGCCAAAUGGACCAAUGACAUGGGGCAGCUUCUUUUAAAUCUCACCCCCAGGGCCUCUGACUGCACAGGUAAGACACAGAAACCAGGCCACUCCAAUUUAAACAAGCCUUGCAGCUUCUUAAAGACCAGGGUCAAGUCCAUAUGAAGUCCUUCCGUUACUUACCUUCACAUUGGUCUCAGUGGUUUAUUUCAAAUUCUAGCCUAUUCAUUGAUAGCUUUUCCUGAAUGGUCUCCAAAAGCUCUCUGCAAAAGCGAUUUACAGAGUGGCUGGCCAGUGUGCUGAUCUGCACACUGAAGGAAGGAUCAUGUAGCUAAGGACUGCCAAACAGACAGAAGAGACAUGUUAUCACCGAGGCAAGAAGUGCGCAGUUAGCAGGGUUAAGGACCAGGAUUUGGGGGCCACAUAGCUGCUUGUAGCGAGAAGGUUCUUGCAUGAAGAAUCUUCUCAACUAUCUUUCCUUGCCCACAGCUAAAUAGUAGCUUCUACUUUAAAUCCAGGUCACAGUCAUUAGCUACCAGCAUGGUCGGCACUAGAUACUCAACGAGUAUGGAUCAGUUUAAGAUUUGCUUGAAGGUGAAAAGAGGAAUUAUUCAACAAAUGGUGUUGGAACCACUGGCUAGCCAUUUGGGAAAAAAAGUUUAGAACUUCCCUGGUGGUCCAGUGGUUAAGAGUCUGACCUCCCAAUGCAGGGAGUACAGGUUUGACCCCUGGUCGAGGAACUAAGAUCCUACAUGCCACUCAUGUUGCCGAGAAAUAAAGUAAAUAAAUAAAUAUAAACUUAAACUGAUUCUUACCUUACUUGUCACUCCCAGUAAAGCAUAUGUGGAUAAAAACUUCAAAGAUAAAAUUUGAAACCACAAUUUAAAAACUGUGGGUGCAUUUAUUGCUCAUCCCUGUUUGGAG